rnacentral:rRNA from 1 species
UACGGAGGGUGCAAGCGUUAUCCGGAUUCACUGGGUUUAAAGGGUGCGUAGGUGGGCAGGUAAGUCAGUGGUGAAAUCUCCGGGCUUAACUCGGAAACUGCCAUUGAUACUAUCUGUCUUGAAUACCGUGGAGGUCAGCGGAAUAUGUCAUGUAGCGGUGAAAUGCUUAGAUAUGACAUAGAACACCAAUUGCGAAGGCAGCUUACUACACAAAUAUUGACGCUGAGGCACGAAAGCGUGGGGAUCAAACAGG